GAGGGACAUUACCGGGUGCGCAGGCCCCCUCGCGGGGCCGCCCUCGAAUCCCCUGUGUACCGUACCCUUUGUUUGCUUCGGCGGGCCAGGCCCGCGCGGCCCCCCUCCCUCGCGGGGGGAGCGCCCGCCGAGGCCCCAACUGAACCAGUCUGAAGAACAGCAUUCGGUCAGGCCUUCGGGUUUGAAUUCAGCACAACUUUCAACAAUGGAUCUCUUGGCUCCGGCAUCGAUGAAGAACGCAGCGAAAUGCGAUAGCUAGCGUGAAUUGCAGAUUUCAGUGAAUCAUCGAGUCUUUGAACGCACAUUGCGCCCCUUGGCAUGCCUUGGGGCACACCUGUUCGAGCGUCGUUUCGCCCAUCAGGCCUGCGGGCCUGGUCUUGGGGUGCGCCCCGCCCUCGCGGCGGCGGCGGCUCUGAAACGCAUCGGCGGCUUAGUGACGCCCCGGGACGCUGUAGAAGGCGGAUUCCGAGGGCUCGCCUGGCUUGCCGUAAAACCCGGUGCAACGCACCUUCAGGUCGACCUCGAAUCAGGUGGGGAUACCCGCUGAACUUAAGCAUAUCAAAA
rnacentral:rRNA from 1 species